UUGAACGCUGGCGGCAUGCCUUACACAUGCAAGUCGAACGGCAGCACGGGUGCUUGCCCCUGGUGGCGAGUGGCGAACGGGUGAGUAAUACAUCGGAACAUGUCCUGUAGUGGGGGAUAGCCCGGCGAAAGCCGGAUUAAUACCGCAUACGAUCUACGGGUGAAAGCGGGGGACCUUCGGGCCUCGCGCUAUAGGGUUGGCCGAUGGCUGAUUAGCUAGUUGGUGGGGUAAAGGCCUACCAAGGCGACGAUCAGUAGCUGGUCUGAGAGGACGACCAGCCACACUGGGACUGAGACACGGCCCAGACUCCUACGGGAGGCAGCAGUGGGGAAUUUUGGACAAUGGGCGAAAGCCUGAUCCAGCAAUGCCGCGUGUGUGAAGAAGGCCUUCGGGUUGUAAAGCACUUUUGUCCGGAAAGAAAUCCUUGGCCCUAAUACGGUCGGGGGAUGACGGUACCGGAAGAAUAAGCACCGGCUAACUACGUG
rnacentral:rRNA from 1 species